rnacentral:sRNA from 1 species
UUUUUCUCCUGAGGGGGAAGGACGAGAACCUUCGAUUAAGGUUCGAUUCGAGCGUAGCGAGAAAGCGUUGCCGCAGGCAACGACCCGAAGGGCGAAGGCGCUUGCGCCGAGUAAUCCUUCCCCCACCCUUC